rnacentral:rRNA from 1 species
GACGAACGCUGGCGGCGUGCUUAACACAUGCAAGUCGAACGAAGUGGCGAACGGGUGAGUAACGCGUAAUCAACCUGCCCUUCAGAGGGGGACACCAGUUGGAAACGACUGCUAAUCCCCCUUACUGAUGUGGUGGAUUGCGGGUGAUUAGCUAGUUGGAGGGGUAACGGCCCACCAAGGCGAUGAGCAGUAGCCGGGCUGGGAGGAUGAACGGCCACAUUGGGACUGAGACACGGGCCAGACUCCUACGGGAGGCAGCAGUGGGGAAGCUUCCGCAAUGGACGAAAGGCUGACGGAGCAACGCCGCGGGAGUUAUGACGGCCUUCGGGUUGUAAAGCUCUGUUAAUCGGGACGCGGUACCGGAAGAGAAAGCCACGGCUAACUACGUGCCAGCAGCCGCGGUAAUAC